CUACGGGGUGCUGCAGUGGGGAAUAUUGGACAAUGGGGGAAACCCUGAUCCAGCAAUGCCGCGUGUGUGAAGAAGGCCUGCGGGUUGUAAAGCACUUUCGGUUGGGAGGACUGCUUCUAGCACUAAUAUUGUUGGAAGUUGACGUUACCUUCAGAAGAAGCACCGGCUAACUCCGUGCCAGCAGCCGCGGUAAUAGGAGGGUGCAAGCGUUAAUCGGAAUUACUGGGCGUAAAGCGCGCGUCGGCGGCUAGUUCAGUCGGGUGUGAAAGCCCCGGGCUUAACCUGGGAACUGCAUCCGAUACUGUCUAGCUUGAGUACAGGAGAGGAGAGUGGAAUUCCACAUGUAGCGGUGAAAUGCGUAGAUAUGUGGAGGAACACCAAUGGCGAAGGCAGCUCUCUGGCCUGAUACUGACGCUGAGGUGCGAAAGCGUGGGGAGCAAACAGGAUUAGAUACCCUAGUAGUC
rnacentral:rRNA from 1 species